CCAGACUCCUACGGGAGGCAGCAGUGAGGAAUAUUGGUCAAUGGGCGGGAGCCUGAACCAGCCAAGUCGCGUGAGGGAAGACGGUCCUAUGGAUUGUAAACCUCUUUAGGCGGGGAGCAAUGCCGGGCACGCGUGCCCGGAGGGAGAGUACCCGCAGAAUAAGCAUCGGCUAACUCCGUGCCAGCAGCCGCGGUAAUACGGAGGAUGCGAGCGUUAUCCGGAUUUACUGGGUGUAAAGGGAGCGCAGGCGGCCUGCCAAGUCUGGUGUGAAAACCCGGGGCCCAACCCCGGGCCUGCAUUGGAAACUGGCGGGCUGGAGUGUCGGAGGGGCAGGCGGAAUUCCUAGUGUAGCGGUGAAAUGCGUAGAUAUUAGGAGGAACACCGGUGGCGAAGGCGGCCUGCUGGACGAUGACUGACGCUGAGGCUCGAAAGCGUGGGGAGCAAACAGGAUUAGAUCCCCUCGUA
rnacentral:rRNA from 1 species